GUACGUCUGUGUGUUAGUGGUGUGGGUGCACUAGCUGCUCUGUGUGUGUGUGUGUUUUAUGGUCCUGGCUGAUUAAGCUUGGCACUGUCAGGAGUGGGUUUGUGUGUGUAAUUAAUGAUGUGUCUCCUGCUCUCUCCCAUGGUAAAGGCUAAUAGGAUUUCCCAGCCCCAGGCUACAGCGAGGAGAGGCUGGGCGCAUGAGGAAGUGUGCAGGAGAGGAGAGGGGAGGCAGAUUGCGAGAGGUGAUAGGAGAGGUAACAACGCAGGAGGUUUGAGCAGGUGGAGGAUGGGACAUGGGGCCGCUGUAACUGGUGUUGUUGGCAAGGGGGAAGGGUGGACUCGGACCCCCUGUGAAGCCACCCUCCCCCUGUGGAUUGGGAUGGAGAGGUCCGGUCAUGCCUGGCUCGGGACUGGGGGUAUCUGUGUGGGAGAUCAUGUCCGUGAACCUUUGGUCGUCUGAGGGGUGGUGAGCAGAGACCGGGCCGCCCUCCAGGGCUCCUGAACCCGAGCUGAGGAGAAAUGAAAACACAGCUCGCAUCUCUGCCAAACACCUGUUAGUAUGUCACAUACCAGGAGCGUGCAUGUGCAAAUCCAAUCAAAGUGACCAAGCUGGAAUGUUGCACAACAGGCUGCUGUGCUUGAUAACAGCUUGUCAUUGUCUGAGAAGCGGGGAUAGACGACUACAGACGUUUAUCUGACAAGAACGCAUGGGCUGAGGAGAAUGAGUUAUGGACACUUCUCCAUAGGUGGACAACACUAAACCAAAAGAGUCCUCAGCUUGCAAUGAAAAAUGGAUUGACUGAAUCAUAUUCACAUACAUGGACUAUCAUGACAUUUUAAAAAGGUCUGCAUUCACUUUUAUGCUAGAGUUCCAACAUAAGUUGUUCUUUAAAAAAAGGCGAGCUUAAUUUUGCUCAAAUGUAACACUAUUUUUGCAUGAUCAAUUAAAAGCCGAUGAGAUUUAUCCUUAUAGUGGCCUUGGCUGGAUUUUUUUUUUUUUUUUUCUUACAAAUAUGCAUUUAUACAAGUCAUUCAAAUCAAUAUUACUUUAAAAAAUAGCAUCCCACAAAUUUCAAAAGACCAUUUGCAGCAUUAAUGAAUCUGAGUGUUGUACGUCCCUUUUAAAGCGACUGGACGAAGCACUCAGUCGCUGUUAAAUUAAUUGGACUAGCACUGACCCACAAGUGGAGGCGAUAAUGAUGUCAUCUGUGUGUUGGGAAACAAACAGCCUGUCCGUGAUUCUGAACACAUCACGGGGACACGCGUAAAUAGUGAACCAACACACCUCUGAAACGGGUUAGUCGUUUUCUUUCAAUGGAUUUUACAUUUGAAUACAACACACAGGCUCUGUUAAAGUGCAUUUACAUCUUAGAAAGACACGCAGAGCACGUGAGACAAUAUAUAAUGA